rnacentral:tRNA from 1 species
AAUUUAUGUAGUUUUAAACAUUUCAUUUUCAAUGAAAAAAUAGAAAUAUAUCUAUUUCUCUUAAAU